GAUGAACGCUGGCGGCGUGCCUAAUACAUGCAAGUCGAGCGAACGGACGAGAAGCUUGCUUCUCUGAUGUUAGCGGCGGACGGGUGAGUAACACGUGGAUAACCUACCUAUAAGACUGGGAUAACUUCGGGAAACCGUAGCUAAGACCGGAUAAUAUUUUGAACCGCAUGGUUCAAAAGUGAAAGACGGUCUUGCUGUCACUUAUAGAUGGAUCAGCGAUGCAUUAUCUAGUUGGUAAGGUAACGGCUUACCAAGGCAACGAUGCAUAGCCGACCUGAGAGGGUGAUCCGCCACACUGGAACUGAGACACGGUCCAGACUCCUACGGGAGGCAGCAGUAGGGAAUCUUCCGCAAUGCGCGAAAGCCUGACGGAGCAACGCCGCGUGAGUGAUGAAGGUCUUCGGAUCGUAAAACUCUGUUAUUAGGGAAGUACAUAUGUGUAAGUAACUGUGCACAUCUUGACGGUACCUAAUCAGAAAGCCACGGCUAACUACGUG
rnacentral:rRNA from 1 species